rnacentral:rRNA from 1 species
AUUGAACGCUGGCGGCAGGCCUAACACAUGCAAGUCGAGCGGUUGAGGUAGCUUGCUACCGAAGCAGCGGCGAACGGGUGAGUAAUACAUGGGAAUCUGCCUGGUAGUGGGGGACAACGUUUCGAAAGGAACGCUAAUACCGCAUACGCCCUAAGGGGGAAAGGGGGGGGUCUUCGGACCUCUCGCUACUAGAUGAGCCAAUGUCAGAUUAGCUUGUUGGUAGGGUAAAUGCCUACCAAGGCGACGAUCUGUAACUGGUCUGAGAGGAUGAUCAGUCACACUGGAACUGAGACACGGUCCAGACUCCUACGGGAGGCAGCAGUGGGGAAUAUUGGACAAUGGGGGCAACCCUGAUCCAGCUAUGCCGCGUGUGUGAAGAAGGCCUUAGGGUUGUAAAGCACUUUCAGUGGGGAGAAAAGUGAUUCACCUAAUACGUGAGUCAAUUGAUGUUACCCACAGAAGAAGCACCGGCUAACUCCGUGCCAGCCGCCGCCGUAACAC